rnacentral:lncRNA from 1 species
UGUCCACAUUCUGUGGGCUUUUGAAACCACAAAAACACCCCCAGUGACACACCUCCUAAUCCUUCCCAAACUGUUCCACCAACUGGGAAGUAAACAUUCAGACAGAUGAGCCUUUGGGAGUUCAUUCAAACCCCCACAUUCCCCUUUGUCCCUCCAUAGGCUUACAGCUCUAUCAUAAAAUGCCCUCAUGUUGUGGAAAUUAUUUAAAUCCUGGCCUUUGUUUCUACCCCUCCUUUCGUUUGUGAAUUCCCGGGAGAAAUACACAAUGUUUAUAUUUAUAAUAAGCAUUAACAUAAGAGCUGGGUAGAUGAGGUCUGCCCUCCAUGCUGUUUGAAUCUACUUUCCUAUCGAUAUUAUUACUAUUUACUAUAUUUCAUCUGGGCUGCUCUUAACUCCAAUUGACCAGCCCUCAGGGCCACAUUCACAUAGCUCACCUCACUCAUGGCGGCUCCUCCCUCUGAGUUCUCCACUCCUCUUCCCUUAUGUUCGUUCUUGGAGCCCAGGCCUGUGAAACCUAAACUGUUAGCACCUUUAUAUCCCCAUCAGAAGUAGUGUGGGGGUAGGGUCACUCAGCAUCUUAGGUCUUUCCUGCAGAUGCCAUCUCUUGUGACAGCAAGGAGGGGCUCAAAUUAGGGUUAGAAUACAGGCAGCAUUAGGCUAACCCACUGUAUACUUAGUCAAACUUAAAAGUCUCCAUAGACUUUCACAGUCUGACUAUUGUUCAAAGUUCAAAGUCUCUUCUGAGACUCAAGACAAUCUCUUCACUGCAACCCUUAUAAAAGCACAGUUACGUGUUUCGACAUACAGUGGUGCAGAGUACGUGUUUCCAUUCUGAAAGCAAAGAAAGAGGGCACAGUGAGGAAAUACGAGAUCAAGGUGGGACCGAAGCCAAUCUAGCAGAUGCCAAACUGCAUGUCCAUGUGUGACGGCACAGGGCUCUUCAGCUCUCCCACGCCUUCCAGCUUUUUUACUGCAAUGCAAUUAUCCCCCUUGUGUUGAUUCCAUACCCUGCGUACAGCCCUCCAGGGGCAAGUAUUCCUUAACUCUGGCCUUCAACUCUCAGGAUCCUCAACACAAACCAGGCAUAAGCCUCAUAGCUUCCUGCAAUGGCUUCUUGGUGACUCCAUGUGGGGUUGUCCCUACACCUUUAACCUCAGAGGGUGAUUCCACAGCCCUGUUACUCAUGUAUCCUUCAUGGUUUUAAAGCAAGAAUUACACGGCCAAUGAGGCCAUGUUCUUCUGCCUGCUUUGGAUAGAACCAGGACUGUCCUUGAAUCUCACUUGUAUAAACUUUGGUUUCCUGAU